AUUGAACGCUGGCGGCAUGCCUUACACAUGCAAGUCGAACGGCAGCGGACCUUCGGGUGCCGGCGAGUGGCGAACGGGUGAGUAAUAUAUCGGAACGUACCUUUCAGUGGGGGAGUAACGUAGCGAAAGUUACGCUAAUACCGCAUAUUCUGUGAGCAGGAAAGCAGGGGAGUCGCAAGACCUUGCGCUGAUUGAGCGGCCGAUAUCAGAUUAGCUAGUUGGUGAGGUAAAGGCUCACCAAGGCGACGAUCUAUAGCGGGUCUGAGAGGAUGAUCCGCCACACUGGAACUGAGACACGGUCCAGACUCCUACGGGAGGCAGCAGUGGGGGAAUUUUGGUACGAAUAGGGCGG
rnacentral:rRNA from 1 species